CCUACGGGACGCAGCAGUGGGGAAUAUUGCACAAUGGGCGCAAGCCUGAUGCAGCCAUGCCGCGUGUGUGAAGAAGGCCUUCGGGUUGUAAAGCACUUUCAGCGAGGAGGAAGGUGGUGAACUUAAUACGUUCAUCAAUUGACGUUACUCGCAGAAGAAGCACCGGCUAACUCCGUGCCAGCAGCCGCAGUAAUACGGAGGGUGCAAGCGUUAAUCGGAAUUACUGGGCGUAAAGCGCACGCAGGCGGUUUGUUAAGUCAGAUGUGAAAUCCCCGGGCUCAACCUGGGAACUGCAUUCGAAACUGGCAGGCUAGAGUCUUGUAGAGGGGGGUAGAAUUCCAGGUGUAGCGGUGAAAUGCGUAGAGAUCUGGAGGAAUACCGGUGGCGAAGGCGGCCCCCUGGACAAAGACUGACGCUCAGGUGCGAAAGCGUGGGGAGCAAACAGGAUUAGAUACCCCAGUAGUC
rnacentral:rRNA from 1 species